GAGGCAGCAAUGAUAGCUUGUUUGGGUCGCACACUUUUCCUACGCGCGUGGGGCACGGUGAAACCCUAGAUCGAUCAACCACUCCCCCAGCCCAAUCGGCUGCUUGCUUUCCUCCCCAAUCCCGACUCCUUCCUCCUCCCCCAAUCACGGCAUCUCCUCUCCUUCUCCCACCUCGCAUCGCGGGCGCUGCCGGCGCCGCCACCUUGCAUCGGGAGAGCGGCCGCGGGGCGCUGCUGCGUGGAGCGCCGGGAGGCAGCCAACAUGAGCAAGGACAAAGCGCGGGCGCCGCGGCCGCCGCCACCUCACAUCGGGAGAGCGGCUGCGAGGCGCCGCUGCAUGGAGCGCCAGGAGCGCCGGUCACCGUCGGUCACCACCGGUCGCAGAGGCGGCGGUGCUGGCCGCGGCGGACAAGAAGGAGGAGUCACGCCUGGCCGAGGUCGGGCGGGAGGAGGCGGCGUGGCAGCAGGCGGCAGACGGGGGUCACCGUGCUGCGGGAGGUCAACACCUCCAGCCAGCUCCCGUGGCCCAUGCCUCCAUCCUCCCGCUCAUGGUCCUGAGUUCCUGGUCGCGGACGAGCCAACGUGAGUCCGGAAGGGAAGAGACGGGCUACAGAUUUGCUUGCAUGCGUGGUUCCCCCCUCUCUUGAUCUGCUGGUUGAUUUUUUUGGGAAGAGAUGGGCUACAGAUUUGCUUGCUCUGUGCGGGCUUCCUCCCUCUUUCGAUCUGCUGGUGGUGGACUGCUGACUUCUGUAUAUCUUUUAGAGCCCACUAAAGAUGCAACGGAACAAGAACGAGAGGGUCUUCUCUCCCCAAGAACCUUCCUGGAUGGUCUGGGCUGGAGCAUUGGAGCUCUUGCGAGGCUGUGCCGCAAAGUCGUGCAAAUGGCUUCUACUGGUAUCCCCUCUAUUCUUUCUUAUCAGCAGGAGUGGUGUGGAGCUGCAUGUGAGAGCAAGGAGGUCGGCCACAGGUGGGAACUGGGAAGAGCAGACCAGCCCUGGUUCAUCAAGGAGAACACCAGUGUAGAUGCUCGCUCUCCUUCGCCUCUUCUUCCGUGGACCGUCAACGGUGGGUCUGGCUCAGAUUCAGGGAGGCACACCAGAGGGCAGCAGCCAGAGCAUCACUUCAUGGCCAUCCUGGCAAAACAAAAUCAUGGUUAUAUUAGUUUUGGUUGAGAUAGAAAAGUUCCAGGCUUAGGAAUAUUUUGAGAGAAUUGAGUUGCUGAACACAAAGUAGCAGGUUUCAACAAAUGGUUCUUCUGGGUAAUCAUCCCAUUGAAAUGAGGGAGCAUGAGAGGCGUGUGGUCAGUGAACUUGUCACCUGCAUAUCCAACCAAAUUGUUCAGUGGAAGUAUGAAUCAGGCAAUUCUAUUCUUACACCUGCAGUAUGUCAGCUUUUGUGGUUAAUGAGCUUGCGUGUGAUAGUAAUAAUUUUCCCCUAACAUUUUCAUGUGAACUCUGGAGGCUGGGAGUGUUGGUACUCUCAGAACAAGGGCAAAUGUCUACUCUGUACAAUUUCAACCUGAUUCUCCCUCGCUCCAUUGCAAUUGGCUUAGCUGACCACAAUAUUUAAUAAUACGAUCUUCCCAACAUAUGAGUCCCUUACAGUAUAUUAGCGGGACACACAAAAAUUGUUAUUUAUGCUAAGUAUUUAGAUGCAUCAACCAUAGUAUCUGGUUUUCCACUGAAUUAUUUACUUAUCCUACCAGUAUACACAUAUAACCAUGUGGUAUAAAUAAGACAAUUAAGCUAUUUAAUUGUGUGCUUCAAUCUUUCCUUUUUAGCUAUUAAUUAUUAGAUAGGCUAAGUACAUAAUUUAAGACCAUAGGUUGGUGUUUUAGAUUAAGGGUUGGUGUCAAUGAUUAGCAGCAUGUGUUUAGGUGAAGAGCACCUCGUGAUCACUCUUUACAUUUUUAUCGUCUGCAUUCACCAUUGUGCACGUAUAUAUGUUGUUUUUGAGAGAUACAUUUUGCUUGUGUGAUAUCAUUUUUGAGAAAAAAUUACAGUGCAUUAUUCUGCUACAUGUUUGGUGUUUCGCCUUAGUAAGAAACUAUUUCUCAAGCAGAGGAAUACAAUUAUAUUGCCUAUUUGCCUUCUUCCAGUUUCAUUUAGCUUGCAAUAUAUGCACCAUACCAUUUCUUGUGGAAGUUGUUCUGCUAUAUAGAUAGGUGUUAUUGGUGCCUGAUGAUGCACGAUGUAUUAACUGUGCCAAUGCCUCUAACCUACUAUAGCUCUAUAGAAAUUAGAAAUCUCCUAUGCAAAUGAUUCAGGUUGCCAUGGCGUGCCUCUCCUACGCGAAUCUCACUUGUAGUACCAAAGAGAAAUUUAAAUAAGAUGGCUUCUCUACGUGUUUUUCUCCGAGUUAGAUAAAUGAAAUCAUAAGAUAGAAAAAUGUGGGUCCCUCUAUUCAGGUACAAUACCUUGGUUCAAACUAUACUAAAUUCUUUGCUUUCCACUAAAGUUAAAUUCAUCGCAUACAUGUUUUUCAUUUCAAAUACAUCUCAAAUUCAUCCCAUAAGAGAAUGAUUUCAAAUUUACUCCUUUUUCACCGUUGAAGUCAAUUGUUUCGUAAAUAUGGGAUAUUGGCUCCUUUUCAUCCUUGAAGUCAAUUGUUUAAUGUUUCGAAAAGGUCCUGAAGUACAUGAGCAAGACUGGUUAGUGGCUGACUGGCUGCUCUGAUGAAAGCAUAUGGAAGAACCAAACUGUACUGAAGCUGAGGCCAUAUUUGGACUGAAAGGCCUGGUGGACAAGGAGGACGUCGAGAACCCUCUGUACAUUAGGGACAUUGAUCACAAUGAUGUUACCGGUGUGAUGCACUCGCCAUCUGAUCAGUGGGACAAGAAAAACAGACAGAUUGUCAGCUUACUGGUUGUUCUUUAUGCUAGCCGAUUAGAAUAGUUCAUAAUGAUGCUCUGGUUAAUCUCCUCGCUGAUUACUCUAAUGUUGAUGCUCUAUUAUUAUAUUUAGAUAUGCAAAAAAAGCUAUUGUGUUUCUGCCAUGCUUUAUCAUGCAAAGUUUAACUCCUUUAAAAAAUCUUUUGCCCAUUAACCAAAUGAAUGGGUUUUAGAAUGGAGAAGGAACUGACUAAUUUUGUUGCUUGGUUCGCAGCUGGCUAUUUCUAUGUGCAGCGCCAUGAGUUGACAAGAGGAGCAUCGGCUCAAGGCGUCUACAGCCACGGCCUAUGGGGCGGCCACCGACGAGGGCAUGGAUCCCACUGUAUGUAUGAUGGAUCCCACUCUAUCUUGGAUUUUCCAUUCAGCUUGGUGAAGUAUAUUAUGUUAAUGGACGAAUAGAAUGCCAUGGAUGCCUUCGCUAUUUUGGAGGCAAUUCUUUUUGUGGGUUCACCUCUUGUGAUUAUCUAUAUGAGACAUGCAUAGUAAGGUUUUUCACAGUGUACAGAGCCACUAUUCAGAACAUCAAGAAGCUUAUGAUUUCUAAUUCUGAGUUAUGUGCUCUCUCACUUUUAAUAGGUAUUUUGGCAGAUCCAAUUAUUUCAGAAAAAAUAUAUUUUGGCAGUAAUUCUUCAGCUCCAUUGACAACCAUUUGUGUCCUUUUUAUGGUUAAGAGUAACUUAUUUAUUUAGUUUCUUGACAGAGUGAGCAAUUUGAAUUGUUUUCUCGUCAUGUGCUUGAUGAAUUGCUUACAAAUGCAUAAAAGAAAAUAUUAACAGAUCCCAGGUUAACUCAAGUACUUAAUAUGCUUAGACUAUAUGGCUACUCUUAAUAACUACUGUUAAGUAGAAGGCCUAUAUGUGAUCUUCCUGUGAUAGAAAAGGUGGUUACUGCAUCUGUAGCUCUGUGCUAAAUCAUUUAGGCCAGAGCCAUUUUCUGCCUAUAUGUGAUCUUCCUGUUAUGGACGCAUUAGCAUGUUGUCUGGAGUUACGAGGGUAACUAUUUACUGCCUUGGGAUGGAUUUCUUUUGCUCUGAUAAACUGCCACUUUAAGUGAUUUCAGUGUGCCAAAUUUUGUAGCACUGUCGCUUGCCAGCAUAGAAAGAAGGCGAUCGAUAGAUUGCAGGGGAAGAUGUGGAUGUGAUCUGAUCUUGACAUCUUGUUCGCUUGUCUGAUGUUUGAGCUUGUAGUUUCUACCAUUGCAUACAGGAAUUGUGUAUAUACGUGCUUACUUGGUGUGGUUUAUUGUGCAGCAUUGAGUUACGAAAAUCCAUGGUGAGUGCACCUAUCUUGUGAUGUUGCCAGCGGCAAGGUGAGCCAUGCUGCUGAAGGUUUAUGGACAUCCAAGCCUUUCGCUUUGUGCUGAUCAUAAGCCACUGCAUUUCCCGUGGGCCAUGCUGCUGAAGCUUUAGCCCUCAAAAGAAGAUUUAAAGAGGCUGCACAUGUUCAAUGUCAGGUACAUCUCUCAAAUCUGCACUAUAGAUUCUACACUUCUAUACUUUCAAUAUGCCAUUGGUUUAAUGCUUUUCAGAUUAAACCUGAUGUGCUGGUUAUUAAACUAAGCAGCAAUAUAUCUACUACACAUGUUGUUGGCAGUGUGAUGUCGUAUUUUUUUUUUCCAGAAAGAAUAGUCCUGCUACUUUUUAUGAAUCGUAAAACUAAACCUAUACAACUGAGAUACUAAAUAAUUGGAUCUCGGAUUCUGGAGACUAAUUUUUUUACCAUGCAUCAUAAAGUGAAAUUCAGAGUUUCAAGUUACCAAGAGUCAGAGUUUCAGAAGCUUGAAAAGUUGAAAACCUUUUAGCAUGCCAUGCCUACUCUAAUCAAUCAUAAGAGUUACGAACAUGCUUAUUGAUUUAUUUAUAUGUUUCCAUAAAAUAGAUUUAUUAGGAUUCUUAUGCAUUGAAAAAAGAAAUAGUGAACCUCUUGCUGCCUGAUACUGUCAUCCACAGUAUUUUUUGUAAUGUUAUCGACUGCUGUACACCGGCAGUGAUAUGUUCAUUGACUAUUUUGUAACUGCUAGCCUGCUUUGCAAUGAGGUAUGCAACAAUUACAUUUCUUGCUCGGGGUAGAACAUUUCUUACUUCACACACUAUGUUCCAGAUUUCUACCACUAAAAGAAUAAGUUUGAUGCAGAGACAUUGUGUGGGCUUACUAUCUGCUGACCAAAUCUGUGUUGUAGUU